rnacentral:lncRNA from 1 species
CACCUAGAAUUUUCUGAGCAGUUGAGCUGAGGCUGUCUGAGUGUGCACUCUCCCUUGAUAGCCAGGGGGCUGCCCAACAGUAACUUUGAGGGGAGAGUGGCCACACCUCGUUUCCUGAAAAAGCAAGGCACCUAAAGUUCAGGAAGUUUCUGGUGAAAGCUGAUUUAUCUGAACACAAGCUAUACCACACUUAUUGCUUUACUUUUCUACAGUAACUACACAGAAUGCCUCAGUCAGGAAAAAACACAGUUUCUCAAAAUUAUGGACAGAAAAGAAGAUGGACUUGUAGAAUAAUCUGAGGGGGGCUAUUACUUCUUGGGUGGUAAUGUUAUUCUUCAUCUGAAACAUCUGGAAAUAACACCCCUUGGCUUGGAAAAAAAAUGUAAACCCAAACACAAGAGUAGAAGACUCCAUUGUUUAAUAUGAGCAAGAUUUAGAACCUUCAAGUUCUCUGAUAAGGCCGCAGAGACUGCAGAAAAAUCUGCCCACAAGUGGAAGGCUGUCAAGACGGGAUUCAAACACCAGUCACCUCAAACUCAAAGCCCUUGCUCUCAAAGUCCAGGCCUUGGACAUCUCAAAGACCACCCUGCUUGAAACCUUUACUGUGGAUUUCCACACCCUUGGGAUGAAGUGGAAACUGACCAGCCUAUUAGUACAGUAAUGAGUAUGACAUUUGAGAUUCUGCACAGCCUGGUCCUGAUCAUUUCGUCCUGUAACCUGCCCUGAUGCCUCCUUAUACUCUGGCCCCCACCCUCAGCCUUGUUCCAAGCAUCUGAGCGUAUACCUUCCCAACCCUUCUGGUUCCCUCACAGCCUGCCAGUGAGUUAACCUUGCUCCUGCCUCUCCCUCUGCCCAGAUUCUAGAAUGUAGGCCUAGCACAGAAUCCUUGGAGAACGUCUGUGCAAGGCUCCCGCUCUGCACUGUUCCUGUCCACUCAGCUCUCUCCUAAGGCCAACUGCCAAGCCCCAGAGGCAAGGUCUGGAUGCUUGCCUGCCCGCCCUCCCACCAGCGGUUAGCAGAGUGCCUGGCCUCCCCAAGGGCACUCAAUAAAAACUAGCAAAAGUGAGAAGCAGGCAAAAGGGACAACCGAGUGAUGGAGAGAGAAACGGGGAGACAGGAAUUGUGAAUUUCCAUUUGUAAAUCAUCAGCUCUUCGUUCCCAAUAAGCAUUAAUUAAACUGCUCAACACCCC